rnacentral:rRNA from 1 species
AUUGAACGCUGGCGGCAGGCCUAACACAUGCAAGUCGAACGAGUGGCGGACGGGGGAGUAAUGUCUGGGAAACUGCCCGAUGGAGGGGGAUAACUACUGGAAACGGUAGCUAAUACCGCAUACCAUCGGAUGUGCCCAGAUGGGAUUAGCUAGUAGGUGGGGGAACGGCUCACCUAGGCGACGAUCCCUAGCUGGUCUGAGAGGAUGACCAGCCACGCUGUAACUGGGACACGGUCCAGACUCCUACGUGAGGCAGCCGUGGGGAAUAUUGGACAAUGGGCGAAAGCCUGAUCCAGCCAUGCCGCUUGUGUGAAGAAGGUCUUCGGAUUUUAAAGCCCUUUUAGUUGGUAGGCGUUACCAACAGAAUAAGCACCGGCUAACUUCGUGCCAGCAGCCGCGGUAAUUC